rnacentral:rRNA from 1 species
AGUGAACGCUGGCGGUAUGCCUAAUACAUGCAAGUCGAACGGCAGCACAGUAAGAUCUUGCUUUUGAUGUUAGCGAGUGGCGGGCGGGUAAGAAGUACAUCAGAAUCUUCUUUUUCUUGGGGAAUAUCGGGGAGAAGCUUACACUACUAGCUCAUACUUUCUACGGGUUGGUUCAGAAGUGCUUGGCAGUUUUCCCGAUUCUUUUAGCCGAUGUCGGAUUAGCUAGUUGGCGUGGUAAAGGCCCACCAAGGCGACGAUCCGUGGCUGAUCUGAGAGGAUGAUCAGCCACACUGGAACUGAGACACGGUCCAGACUCCUACGGGAGGCAGCAGUGGGGAAUAUUGGACAAUGGGCGAAAGCCUGAUCCAGCAAUACCGCGUGGGUGAAGAAGGCCUUCGGGUUGUAAAGCCCUGUUGUUGGGAAAGAAAAGCAGCAGGUUAAUACCCCGCUGUUCUGACGGUACCCAAAGAAUAAGCACCGGCUAACUUCGUG